rnacentral:rRNA from 1 species
GGUGGGUUUGUAAGUCAGAUGUGAAAGCCUUCUGUUCAACGGAAGAAUUGCAUCUGAAACUGCAAAUCUUGAGUAUAGGAGGGGAGAAUGGAACUUCUGGUGGAGCGGUGAAAUGCGUAGAUAUCAGAAGGAACGCCGGCGGCGAAAGCGAUUCUCUGGCCUAUUACUGACACUGAGUGCGCGAAAGCUAGGGGAGCAAACGGGAUUAGAUACCCCGGUAGUCCUAGCCGUAAACGAUGGGCACUAAGUAGAGGGGUUU